rnacentral:lncRNA from 1 species
ACUGCACAGGAUCCUGGCUCUGCAGCCCGCAGGAUGCAUGUUCUCCAGCUAAUCACUUAACCUCUCUGAGCAGGAGUUUCCUAAUCUGCAUAAUGGAGGUCACAGUAAUGCCUACUGCUGGGGGUUGGAAGAUUUGGCAGGACGCAAAGUCAGAGACACAGGAGGUCUGAAAGAAGCACAUGGCGGUGUGUGCCUGGUCACCCCCAGAGAGGAGAGAGCCACCCGCUGCCGGGCAGGACUUCCCCCGGACAUGCCUGACUCAGAGCUGAUUUUGCCCCUU